rnacentral:rRNA from 1 species
AUUGAACGCUGGCGGCAGGCCUAACACAUGCAAGUCGAACGAGUGGCGGACGGGUGAGUAAUGUCUGGGAAACUGCCUGAUGGAUGGGGAUAACUACUGGAAACGGUAGCUAAUACCGCAUACUAUUCGAUCGGCCGAUAAGUGAUUAGCUAGUUGGUGGGGUAAAGGCUAACCAAGGCGACGAUCAUUAGCGGGUCUGAGAGGAUGACCCGCCACACUGGGACUGAGACACGGUCCAGACUCCUACGGGAGGCAGCAGUGGGGAAUUGUGGACAAUGGGGGCAACCCUGAUCCAGCCAUGCCGCGUGUAUGAAGAAGGCCUUCGGGUUGUAAAGUACUUUCAUCAGGGAGGCGGUACUUACAGAAUAAGCACCGGCUAACUCCGUGCCAGCAGCCGCGGUAAUAC